UUGGAGGGCAAGUCUGGUGCCAGCAGCCGCGGUAAUUCCAGCUCCAAUAGCGUAUAUUAAAGUUGUUGCAGUUAAAAAGCUCGUAGUUGAAUUUCGGGGUUCUACCGUUGGUCGGGCUAUUGUUUGUACUGGCGUGUAGAAUUUCUACCUUCUGGGGAACUAUCAUGUUAUUAAUUUAGCGUGGUAGGAAACCAGGACCUUUACCUUGAAAAAAUUAGAGUGUUCAAAGCAGGCUUAUGUCUGAAUACAUUAGCAUGGAAUAAUAAAAUAGGACGGUGGUCCUGUUUUGUUGGUUUCUGAAUCACCGUAAUGAUUAAUAGGGAUAGUUGGGGGCAUUAGUAUUCAAUUGUCAGAGGUGAAAUUCUUGGAUUUAUUGAAGACUAACUACUGCGAAAGCAUUUGCCAAGGAUGUUUUCAUUAAUCAAGAACGAAAGUUAGGGGAUCGAAGACGAUCAGAUACCGUCGUAGUCUUAACCAUAAACUAUGCCGACUAGGGAUCGGACGAUGUUAAUUUUUCUUGACUCGUUCGGCGCCUUACGGGAAAC
rnacentral:rRNA from 1 species